ACCUAAUGUUUCUGAUUUACAGUCCCAAUUUUGUUUGGUUGCUUAGAUUUUGUGUAUGCGGAUGGGUUUUAAAGCUGAGACUGAUUGUGCUGAAAAGCAACCAUUCCACAAGACUACUAAAGCAACACAUACUGGGGUUAGGUAUUAACUGUAAAUAAAAGCUCCAUGAUUUGUAAGCUAUAUAUGUGUUACCUAACUCCAAAAUCAUAAUGUAACACAAUUAAGAAAAAAUAAGUGACAAUAGUAACAGCAACAAUAGAAUUCCUACAAUGAGAUUAGAUUGCCAUCUGGUGGGCUGGUAAUAUAGGAGCUGUUAAUGAUUAACUUUAAUGUUUUUUUUUUCUUUGUUUAAAAACUAGCUUCUGAUUUCAAAGUAAUCAGAUUGAUUCCUAGCUAGUGAAUUUUGCUCUUUCAUGAGAUAAAAUGUUAUUUUAACUAAUAAGUUAAACAAUGUACCUUAUAUUGUUUUAGCUUGAGGUAUGGAGCAUUGAUUGAUCGGUCUAACUAAAUCAAACAUGACAAAAUCAUUCCACAAGUGUUUCUGGUUUUGUGUUAAUAAUUUCUGAUAUUUAUAAAAGAGUUAUGUUAAGAGGCGGAGCUUAACACAGGCCUGUAGGACACAGACUCAUUCAGUGACGCGAGCAGAAGCCAGUUCAUCAUGUUCACUUGUGUGCUUAUACUGCUGUCUUUAACUCAAGGUAACAGAGCUAAAGAUGUCAUCACACCAUACAGUGAUGCAGCAUUUGCCACUGAGACUGAGAGUGUGAAACUCUCUUGUAACUACACUGGUUCUGUUGAUAGUAUUCACUGGUAUCAGCAAUAUGCAGGUUCAUCACCACAGUUCCUCAUAAAUAAUUAAUUGUUUUUUUUUUUUUAGUAGCAAAAUCAGAAUAUUAGAAUGAGUUCUGAAGGAUCGUGUGACUGGAGUAAUGAUGCUAAAAAUUCAGCUUUGAUUGUUCCUAAUAAACUGUUUAACUGCACUCGCAAGUGAACUUAUUUUGUGGGAUAAUUAAAUAUAUUCUAAAUAAACUACAAACCUAAAAAUAUAUACAUUUAUACAUUCUUUCUUGUAACUCUUCCCUCUCAGUCACAUACCUAAGUGAAAGGCUUAUUAUGCAGCUCAUUAUGCGGGUCUUUGUCUUCUCAGGUGUGAAUCACACUAAUAUUCAUGGUCAAUCACACCUACUCGCAUAUGCCCUUUUCGAAACAAAAAGUGUCUUAUAAAAGCCUCUCUGUUUUCUGUGAGCAAGUAAACAUAUAAUUGUGCUCUCAAAUUGCAAUUUGUUUAUGAAUUACUCUGAGCUUUGUAUUCAAAAUACACAUCCAUUCUUCAUUGUUAAAAAUGAAAUGAUUUGACAAGAUGAAUCGCUAGUGAUGGAAGAUAACACUAUUCUGAUGCAAACUAUUAUGGAUUCUAUUCACUGUCUUCUUAAAAUCUGUGUAAUAUAGUGUACAU
rnacentral:lncRNA from 1 species